rnacentral:rRNA from 1 species
GAGGAAUAUUGGUCAAUGGACGGAAGUCUGAACCAGCCAAGUAGCGUGCAGGAUGACGGCCCUAUGGGUUGUAAACUGCUUUUGUAUGGGGAUAAAGUUAGGGACGUGUCCCUAUUUGCAGGUACCAUACGAAUAAGGACCGGCUAAUUCCGUGCCAGCAGCCGCGGUAAUACGGAAGGUCCAGGCGUUAUCCGGAUUUAUUGGGUUUAAAGGGAGCGUAGGCUGGAGAUUAAGUGUGUUGUGAAAUGUAGACGCUCAACGUCUGAAUUGCAGCGCAUACUGGUUUCCUUGAGUACGCACAACGUUGGCGGAAUUCGUCGUGUAGCGGUGAAAUGCUUAGAUAUGACGAAGAACUCCGAUUGCGAAGGCAGCUGACGGGAGCGCAACUGACGCUUAAGCUCGAAGGUGCGGGUAUCAAACAGGAUUAGAUACCCUGGUAGUCCGCACAGUAAACGAUGGAUGCCCGCUGUUGGUACCUAGUAUCAGCGGCUAAGCGAAAGCAUUAAGCAUCCCACCUGGGGAGUACGCCGGCAACGGUG